rfam:Clostridium sp. CAG:678 genomic scaffold, scf42
AAUACUUUCGCUGUUCAACCAAAGACAGCAGGUGCCGCAAGGCGUAAGAUAGAUUGUUAUCGCCUGCCGAGGAAUGGGCAUUUAUGUUGAUAUACAGUGCGUUUCGCAUUUUGUAUGAAAUGGAUAAAUGUUGUGCAUUCCGUCUUUGCGGAAUGCACUUUUUGUUUGGUAAA